UACGUAGGGCGCAAGCGUUGUCCGGAAUUAUUGGGCGUAAAGAGCUCGUAGGCGGUUUGUCGCGUCUGUCGUGAAAGCCCACGGCUUAACCGUGGGUCUGCGGUGGAUACGGGCAGACUAGAGGCAGGUAGGGGAGAAUGGAAUUCCCGGUGUAGCGGUGAAAUGCGCAGAUAUCGGGAGGAACACCGGUGGCGAAGGCGGUUCGCUGGGCCUGUACUGACGCUGAGGAGCGAAAGCGUGGGGAGCGAACAGG
rnacentral:rRNA from 1 species